GCACUUGGGGCACAAACGGUUAAAUAUUUUCAACGGAAGAAACAACUCCAUAUCGUUGAACUGUCCGAUCCUGGUUAAGAUAUUGAAGCUCUUUGUUUCUCGCUGCGUUUUAAAUUGUUAAGAAGCACAUAAACUUUAGCAUCUGGCCGAUUUUAUAUCUCCUCCAUCAACAAUACUAAUUAAAAAAAAAUCUAAUUUUCUAAACUUUCGUAUAUCUCUUUUACAAAUGAUAAUAAUUUUCCAAAUUUUCAUCCUAUCUAGUACGACCUGGCAAAAGCGCCUACAUAUUCGCCAAUACAAGUCUUGGACUUCCGCACGGUAGAAUCGGUCACGGCGGUCCAUUGGAAGCAGGCAGCAGGGAAGACAAGGCGCGUUUAAAAUGCGUCCGACAUCGGUAGCUGGCGGCGUUAUCGGAAUUAAGUAACCGAUGAUUCACGUUCCGCCAUGAAAUACAAACAAUGGUAUCGGAAUAACGACACGUCCCGCCUCUCUCAUCGCUCGGCUAUCUUGACCAACUUAUUUGCAUACCGGGCGGACCGACCGGUCGGCAGCCACCGCGAGAGCUGAAUUUACACUUGAGAAGCCGCUCGAAUUAUCGUUUGACAAAUUUCUUAGAAAAUUGUCUCGUACACCGGGUCAGCCGGCCACUCGUGAUGCUAAUUUAUGUGUGGCGGAAGCAUCAUUAUGCGUGCCACGUAUAUAUACCUGCUACCCGUAUAUAUAUGUACAUGUGCAUACAGGGUGUCCCAGAGUUUAACAAAUUUAGUAAAUUCUAAGAUUAUAAGGCCAACUUUAAGGUUAUAAUUAUAAAAUGUUAUAUGUAUAAAAUAUAGUGGUUUGUGUUAGUAUUUGAACACCAUUUUUUAUGUAUUACGUUUGCGAUAAAUAUUUUAUAAUUUCUAUGUAAGUUUCCAGAUUGGUUUGAAAUUUGUCCAACAUAACCGUGACGAUUGUCUCAUCAUUCCCUAUUCGUGAAAUUUCAAAAUGUUUUUAUGAUAUAUUAUAUAAUAUAGGGUGAUCCAGAGUUUGGCAGCUAAAUUUUGUUACAACUUUGCGUGGGUAUUUCUAUAGUGAUACACGAUACAGUAAUAAAUUCAACUUUUCUUGCGAAUUAUAUAUUAACAACCAACGAUUACGUUGAUUGUAAAUUUAUUCUUGUCUUAUAGCAUGAUAAUCCUGACGAGUCCGUUAUUGUCCCUUUUGCAUUUCCUAUUUUUAUUAUAACUUUUCGAUAAAGCUUCGAAUAAGAUACGUUUAUAAAAUACUUUUCGCCUGAUUAUACUCAUAGAAUACAUCUACCAAAUUUUAAAUCCUGGCACACCGUGUAUGUGUCUAUAUAUGACAACAUACUGGCGUGACGCAUAUUCUCGAAAGACGGGGUCUAGUAAGCUCUCGAGCAUAAUUCAACGGGUGAAUGUUGGCUAUAUCCAUGGAAAUGCGGCUUUUCAGCGUUUCACAGCUACUUGGACAGGGAAAAUUGGAAAUUUAAGAUGACCUACUACCUAAAUGACAAACCAAUUAUCUCCUAUAAGCUUAAUCCUUUCAAAGUCUCAAUUAGCGUGGUAUUCAGAUAUUUCCUUCUUUUUUUUCUUGUAGAAAUAUAUUCGCUCGUGGUAUGCAUUUACCAUUAAUUUGGAUUAUUCAUCGUGUUUACAGGAAGCCCUAGCUGACCUACCUCAUGCAGCUGGAACCUAUUUUCCUCGAACGAGAAAACUCGGUGAACAAUACAGUCGGAGGCAAAAAUAAGUUAAAUAGGUGGUGGAAAUAAGGUAUCGACGACGUUUCGUUAAAUACGGUCUGUUUACACAGAUGUAAAUGAGACGUACGUACCACAGCGUACACAGUAGCGGGUAAAAGGAAAUUUAAACGUAAGUGGUACAAUAGACACCAUAAUUUUACAAGACAGAUUGUAUUUGAGGAGAAAAGCGACUAGAUAUAAUAUGAAACUCUAGAGCGGUCAGCAACAUGCUGAAAAAUAGCUAACGGAAAGGUCAUUAAUAUACUCGCAUACACAAAAUUACUUUCGAAUAAUUAUUUAUAAUUACUAACAGAUCUUGAAAUUAUUAACUGCUUAGCGAAUUUUAAACUUCCUUUUGUCCGCUGCUUUGUAAUAAAUGAAACUUAAUUAUAUCAGUACAAUAUAACGUUAGAACUAAUUCGAUGAAACUUCAUUGAUACCUACCUUCCGCUAUCUGUCCAAUUAUUUUUGUCUCCGACUGUAUCUCGGACACAGAAAGGACGACGGAAGAAGGCGAGCGCACCGGUUACGUUACAGGGUAAUUUAUCAGAGCACAAGAUCUUCCGGUUACUGGUAGUGGCAUGUAAUAACGAAGACGACGACGACGACGAAUACACCGCCUGGAUUGUAUUUGUGUAAUGGUUACAUCGCGGACGAAAAAUCUGUAUGGAACGCGAACGUCGGUGCGGCAAGUUGUGUGCUAGGGAAGGUAGAAGAGCAAAGAGCCGUAGAGAGUGACAAAUUUUACGAGAGGCCGGGAAAAAAGAAGAGACGGGAAACAUGGUGAAAGUUACGAGAAUCGAAGAGCAGGGGGAACGGGAGAUGGAAAAUUACGAUGGUAAAAAAAGAUAGAGAGAAGAGAGAGGUUUACAGAGGAAGAUAUUGACUCGUUCGAUAAUUUUGCAGCGUUUUAAACAGUCUGUUUGUUCUAUUACAUCUUGUAUACUCGUACACAGCCGAGAUUUAAACAUAAUUAAUUUUCUACUUUGGAAAAUACUGCGUCGCUAAUACUAAUUUUAGCUGCACAUCAAGUGCAUCUAUUAAAGGAACAAAUCGGGUAUUUGUCAAUAGAAGGAAGGUGAUUUUUCAACGAGAAACAUUUUGUAUUUUAUAUUUUGUAUAAAGGCUAGGUAAAGAAUGAUCGACAUUUAUCAACCGUCUAUUCCAUCGUGUUUAUAUUCUGAUAAAUGAACACUGCAGAAGACUUUCAAACGUACUCCAGGGAAUUCAUUGGUAAGUUGGUUGAGUAAAAUAAAGCGCAAUAUCGCAGGCAAAACGUUACAAAAAAAUAUAUUUUAUUAUACGAUAUCUGUAUAAAGCGAUAGAUAUUUUAACGGGGGAAAAAAAAAAAAAACAGAUGUAGAGAUAUAAGGCAAAUUAUCACAUCGAAGAAUCACGGUGUUCCAUAAUAUACAACAAAUUUAAUUAUUCUCUGCAAAGAUCAAGAUUGAAUUUUAUGAUAUAAAAGCUUAGGUGACUCGAAUAAGUCUACCUUAUCGCGUAUACGUCUAUAAGAAAAAGGGAGAAACAGAAAAGUGGCAAGGACACGCAGAGAGAACGCGCAUUACAAUCGAGAGCGCAAUGAGCGCGCAGCGAUAUGCAUCGCGGCCGAAAAAGCUCGGAAACCGAGCAGGAGCGGGCUCAGCGGCUUAAGUGAUUUGCAUGCGCGACAGGUGCACACUGCGGAGUCGGUGUAUUACGUGUUUAAUUCACGUGUCUUGCAUACUCGGCACUCCGAUUCCACUGAUUUCCAUAAUACAGCGCCGGCAAGAGCGCCCCGCUAGAUCCGAAUGGAUUUUUUAGCACGCGGAAACAGACCCCACCGAUCGUUUAUGUAUAUGAAAUGUACGCGAUUUCUCGUUGUGACGCGUCGGUACGAUACUAAUGCUACCGUUUCAGUUUAUAGUGUUUCAAAUCGAUGAUCACAUAGGAGAAACACGAUAAUUCAUUGAUUUUCUGAUUUUUGUGUCGUUUGGUGAUCAGAAGAUGGUACUUUAAUAUGGUAUUGUUAAUAGUUGAAAGAUUAUGUCUUCAUGUUCACACAUAAGAAUUCUGAAAUUAAGUAACAAACGUAUCAAGUAUUAUAAAAAAGAAAAACAGCUGAGACAUGGAUAUUUUUUAAGUAUUGUAAGUAAAAUGUAUCGAGUUACUUGACACGUGAAUUGAAUGAAUCUUAACAUUGAUAUCCAGCAAAGAAAAAAAAGGUAUAUGACCGAAAAUGUUCUUUUCCUAUGGCCUCAAUUGAGAAUGAUUAAACUUAUGAGAAAAACGCUAUGGAAAAAUAUGGAAGAAAUUAGAAGUUCGACUAUAUUAGUUUGCUACUGUUCCUAGAAUGAAAUUCAAAAGAAAGUGAUUAUAAGAGAAGUCGUAAAUACGGACGACUAUUUUUCAGCAAUAAAAACGACUUGUUGGAAGUAA